rnacentral:rRNA from 1 species
GGUUGCCUACGGGGGGCAGCAGUCGGGAAUAUUGCGCAAUGGAGGAAACUCUGACGCAGUGACGCCGCGUAUAGGAAGAAGGUUUUCGGAUUGUAAACUAUUGUCGUGAGGGAAGAAAUUGACAGUACCUCAGGAGGAAGCUCCGGCUAACUAUGUGCCAGCAGCCGCGGUAAUACGUAGGGGGCUAGCGUUAUCCGGAAUUACUGGGCGUAAAGGGUGCGUAGGUGGUUUCUUAAGUCAGAGGUGAAAGGCUACGGCUCAACCGUAGUAAGCCUUUGAAACUGGGGAACUUGAGUGCAGGAGAG